GGGAGAAAUUGGAGCUCCAGGCUUUAGUGGACCACCAGGCCCUCCUGGCAAAAUGGGACCCAGAGGAUUGAAAGGUGUCUUAGGAGUUAAAGGACCUCCAGUAAGUAAACAACUAGUUAAUCACAUUCCAUCCAAUCCAAAUGAUAAAAAGAUAUUUGUAAAAUAUUUUAUGCUUUCAGGGUCAUCAAGGUGAACUUGGUGCCAGAGGACCAGCUGGACCACAGGGAGAGCCAGGUCCUCAUGGAACAAUUGGAUUUCCUGGUGUCCGUGGCCCUCAGGGAAACCCAGGACCAGAUGGGCCUCUGGGUCCUAAGGGGGACCCUGUGAGUACACUUCAAGAAAAAAAGGGGGGAUUAAAAAUUGUAAUGCUGUAUUAGAUUGCAAUUAUACAUUUUUGGAUGUCGCUGUCAUCUGCCUUCUGUGUGUUUCACCAGGGUGAUCCAGGAGAUGAAGGGGAAAUAGGAGAACCUGGAUCACCUGGACUAAAUGGAGCCAAUGGGAAUCCAGGAAAGCCUGGACCCUCAGG